rnacentral:rRNA from 1 species
GAGUUUGAUCAUGGCUCAGGACGAAACGCUGGCGGCGUGCCUAACACAUGCAAGUCGAACGGAGAAUUUCGAAGAGUUUACUCGGAGAAAUUUUUAGUGGCGGACGGGUGAGUAACGCGUGGGUAACCUACCCAUAAACCCGGGACAACCCUUGGAAACGAGGGCUAAUACCGGAUAAUCUUUGAGCUUGGCAUCAAGUUUUAAGAAAAGGUGGCCUCUGAAGAUGCUACCGAUUAUGGAUGGACCCGCGUCUGAUUAGCUAGUUGGUGGGGUAAAGGCCUACCAAGGCGACGAUCAGUAGCCGGCCUGAGAGGGUGAACGGCCACACUGGGACUGAGACACGGCCCAGACUCCUACGGGAGGCAGCAGUGGGGAAUCUUCCGCAAUGGACGAAAGUCUGACGGAGCAACGCCGCGUGUAUGAUGAAGGUCUUCGGAUUGUAAAGUACUGUCUUUGGGGAAGAAUGACUGAUUUGAAAAUAUUGAGUCAGUAUGACGGUACCCAAGGAGGAAGCCCCGGCUAACUACGUGCCAGCAGCCGCGGUAAUACGUAGGGGGCAAGCGUUGUCCGGAAUUAUUGGGCGUAAAGGGCGCGUAGGCGGAUAGUUAAGUCCG